UGUACAGUGAGUGGUGUGACUGAAACAGUAAACUGACAGAACCCAAUUUCACAGCCACAGGAGAAAAGAGAAAUACUGUCCUGGAUUGGAAUGAAUCUUUGAAACAAGCUAAGGGUGCAGGGAUUCAGGUUAAGAAAUUGCUGUCCACUUGUUUGCGGGCUUUAACUCUAAAACCAGGCAUGGUGGAAAUCCACAGGCAAUGCAUUUUCGAGGGAACAAAUAAUUAUUCUGGCUAUGUAGCAAGGAAAACAAACUUGAAUUUGAAACACUCUGUGGCCUACAAUUUGACCCUGUUAAGCUUCAACUUCUGAUUUAGUAGACCUGCAUAAACACAUACAUUGCCAUAAAAAAUAUAAGCAAGUGGGAAGAGCUCAAGAUAUGAGCUUCGCUACAAAUAAUUGGCGGUCCCUGAGCAAGAAGACAGAUUCCUGCUGAGGAAGCACCACCUGUACUGCUUCAUGGUUCUGAGAACAAAUACUCUAAAAAGAUAUCUCCUAGAACUGAUGGAGACAAUGGAUAUGAAAAAGAAUAAGGAAAAACUGAAUUUUCUUCUUGAGUUGGGUCAAUAUUGAUAGUUCUCCAGUCCUCUUUCCAUCACUAUAGGAACAGAAAUGAUGUGUUGACAAUUUCACUAAUGCUGAUGAGAAUAAUGUUCUUAUUGACCCCUCCCCCUUUCUCCUUUACUUUACAAUCACAGUCUUUCCCAAAUUUCCUCUGUGAUUUAAGAGUUGGAGUCAAAAUGCACACUAACAUCAUAUAGUGCUUUUUUAUUAUUUGUCUUUUACUUAGGUCUAUUUUCAAUACUCAGCAAACAAGGAAGUUUUACAUUCAAUCAGCCACUUUAACAGCGAACUUGACCUCUGACUGUUAUACAGCUGACAUGAGUUCCAAUCCCCUAUGUCCUCUAUUGUUAGACUUUUAAUUAAGAAAGAAGAUAGUCUCAAAAAAACUCUCUAUAGGGGUGUGUGUGUGGUCUCUGUGUGUGUGUGGUUUCAAAUUUUUAAAAAAUUCAAAUUUUAAUAUAGGAAAAUAUAAAACUAGACAUGGUAUAGACAGAACAAAUCUUAAAAACAUUUCAGCUCUGCUUUCAUUACUGUGGUGUUUCCAACAUUAUGCAAUGAAAUUAGCAUUCUUUUUUGUAUCAUUGUCAAUGUCAA